UCACUCAUUUCUCUUUCUUUUUCUCUCUCUUUCUCUUUGUCCCUCUCGUCCGCACAACCACACCAAACAACACCAUACCUCACCUCCGCCACAAUCACCACCGAACAAGACCUCACCUCCGCCUCAGUUCGCCGCCCAAUCCAUCACGGCUACCUAAUCAACCCCCACCUCCAACGUGAUAUCUGAUCUCAUCUCUUCACCUCAAUCCUUCACAUAAACCCUUCUCAAUCCUCUGUCCUUCUAUUCUUGGGUUCUCUUCUCAAUCCAAUCCUCCGACUGAUUUUAAGAACCAUCAAACAGCAUACUUCAUUGGCUUCUUCGAGUAGAAAGGUUCACAAAUUAGGAUUUGAUUGGCUAAGUCUUCUGAACAUUAAAUUUUGAAUUUCCCCUUCUGAGAUAGGUUAUUUCAGUUUAUUUUUUUUUUUUUUUUUUUUUUUUUUGUGAAUAUUAACAUUUUUCGCCAUGAAUAUUGUUAAAGGUUUUUGAACCAAUCUCUGUGAAUGUUAACAUUUUUUUUGGUUCCUUGGUUUGCUGGUAGCUUGUAUUUACAAGUGAAAUUAUUUGAGUAAGUUGUGUUUUAAAGUUAGUGUACAUCUUCAAAUAAGAUGAUUAUUUGUCCUGGAAUUCAAAAUCUUCUGUGAAGUGGUUGUAAUAUUGUCCACCAACUCUAAGGCAUUGUUCAACAUUUUGAUUCUGUUAUUCUAUUUGCAGGACUAUUAGGAGGAUGGAAUUGAGUCAAUAUUGUUGAUUUCUUUCACCUACUGUAUAGGCACACAUAUCUUACUUGAUUAGGACCAUUUUGAGGCCAUGACCAAGUCUGAAGUGAAAUUAUUGGUUUUUUGGCUUAAUGGAUUUAAAGUUGUGCUUAUUGAUUUGGAUUUGUCCCUCUUUAACAUGACAUUAAUCAACCUAUGGUGAUGUUGCUUAUUGUUGUACUCACAUUGUUUUAUUUCGUGAGUUUUGAUCAUAUUUUUUUUGGCUUUGGUUUUCAUGAUUAAUUAAAUGCAGGUUCAAUUUGGGUUUUCUUCCUUUCAUUAAGUAUUCAUAUUUUGCAGGCUCCAAAGAGAAACUAUUGCAGGGUUAUAAAGUCAAAAAAGAAAGGAACCAUGGUGGUAGAUGUGGGUAUGUGUAGGGGAAAUGAGAGGUAUUGAUGGAUUUGGAGAUAGAUCUAUGUUCUCUCAUUCAACUCAUGGCUUUGGAGUGUUGUCUUUCACAGUAGGCUUGCACCAAAUGUGCAUCCAGAAUUAAUUUCAUUGGAGGCCAGUUUUACUGUGGAAAAUGCAGGAUGCCAAGAACUGUUAUACUUAGGUAUAGAUUUCAUAAACACUGCAUCUCUCUUUAAAUAAUCACUUGGUGUUGUUAAUUGGACAUGAUAUCCUUACCUCAUUUUUUUUAGGUUUUUAGAAAGAACUGCACAAGACUUGCUUGAUGCAGCAUUUUGCAGAUAAAUGAUGGAUUUUGAUUUAGCUUGAAGGUUUUGAUUAUCUGUUAUAAGAGAUAGUUUCUCUUCUUGCAUCUCUUACAUUAUGAUUUUUUUUUUAUUUGCGAAUUUAAUUAGCAUUUAGCACGUGUAUUAAUCUUCAUCUGUUAUUGUGUAUCAUCAAUUAGAAGGGAAUUCCAAUAAUAGUUAUUUGUAUUUCUUUUCACAUAGAACAAUGACGUUUUCUUUUCACCAGAAUUACAAUAGUUAAUGUGCAACAUGCUAACAUCUGCUUAUGCACCAAAGCAUGAUAUUUGCCUCAUCUUAUUAUGCCCAAUUAGCACAUUUAGAAAUUAGAAUCAAACUUUUUGUACCUUUUGCAUACUGGAUUAUUUGUUCUCCACAUUCUGUUUUUUCAAAUUUGUCCAAAUUAAUUUUGUUGGGAACACUCAUACUUUGAUAUUUAGUACAAGUCCAAUGUCCAACCAGAUUUGGGUUCACAUCAAUCCUAACUGCAAAUAGAAGAUUGAAAACAUUUUAUUUUAUAUGAAGAUUCAUGAUUCAAUCCUAACGACAAAUAAGUUUUUGGUGCCACCAUACUUCUGUCAGUUCUGUGUUUUUCACUUUUUUUUUUGGCGCCAUUAUGAUAUUUGAUUUCAACAAAGCGUUCCAAGUUAUUCUCGCAGCUUAAACCAUUUGGUUCACCGUGAGACUAAUAUUUGAUUCGAAAGUAAGCAUCUGGUUUUGUUUUAUAUCAAGGUUGGACUAUCUCCCAAUUGGACGACUCUAGAGAUAAAAUCCGAGUUGUUAAAUCUCCCAGCACCACCUGUGAGUGUGGCUUCUAAUUGGUUACUAUAAACAUGAUAAAAAAAAAAUCAUCUUCAAAUAUUGAUUUAGAUUCAUCACCAAAUGAUUUUGGAGGAGUAUCUCCACAUUUUGAUGUUCCUUUUGUUCAGGUAAACAAUGUGGAAUCAUGUGCUCUUUUCUCUUUUACUUUGGAUUUUGAGUGGUAUUUCUUGAUUUCUAUCAAUUUUGUAGGUUUGCUCAUUUCCUACACUUUUCAUGGUGUCAAAUUUUGUUCUACAGGUGCUUCUUUCAACCUUUUGGCUUCCCUAGAUAUAAAUUGUAUACUUCAUAUCUGUUAUAGCUUCAUGGUUUAUUUACUUUCUCAUCCACCUGGUUUUUUUUGUAGUUUUGCAUAUCCUCAUCCAUUUUCUCCCAUAUGCUAGCACAAUGGUCUCAAGAAAGAUUGACAUAUUCAAUUGUUUGUAGCUUUUAAAUAUGUUUUAUCAUGCUGGAUAACAAGGAAAAAGUCAAGGAUUACAUAUUAAAUUGCUAGGUUUGUUUGGAUUAUAUAUUAGGUUUCAAAUUUUUUGGAAUUAUAUUGAUUAUUGUUUUGGAUACUGAAAAUUUGGCUAAGUUGGAACCAAAAUGUUGCUCUUUGUUAUCCUUUGAAUGAUGACUCUUAUUUAUCUCUUUAUGUCUCCCGACAAUAUUUUGUGGCCUACUCUUGAGUUGUGUUAGUGUAAUUUGUCCAUCUUGCUGUACUUUUUGAUGUAUUAGUGUCAUUGUUUCAAAUAUUUGGUAUUCUCUUAAUGAAAUGUAUCGAAUUUUCACUCAAUGACUUAUUAGAAA